ACUGGUACUGUGAUACAAAAGGUUUGUCAGCACGAAGCUGUUCUUGACAUAGGAGGUCUUAUCUGGAAAUGGGUGACAGACAAACAAUUUUAGCAGUCUCUCAGGCAAUCCUGUAGAUGUAAAUUUGUAGGUGUGUGGCAGGCGAAUGCAGCGACCCUGGCUGUAGAUACCCGUGUCAAAUAAAAACUCUGUUGAAGAGAUUGAGGGGAAUAGUUCACACACUCUUUUGUUCAGUCUGAUAGUUCUGUUUAUCACUCUUGCUAGAGUUAUUAGUGGUGUUGCUCCAACUAUAGCAUGUCUCAUUGGUAAUGGUGUAAUUAUUCGGAGUCCAAUCUUUUUGCUGCAGGUACAAAAUGGUCGUGGUUCCAUAUAUAUAUCAGAGUUACACUCUGACUUGAAGAAAUAGACGGGAUGAGACGGGGGCAUCUCCAGGUUUAGGAUUGUGCUGAGGACAGUAAUUAUGUCCUGGCGAAUCUGCAGACACAGAUUGUAUAUGUCUUCAAUUUUAUAUCCUGGAACUUCAACUGGGAGAUCAAAAUCCAGAAUGACAUUAUAGAUUGGCAGAUGAGGGUUGAAGUAUUCGUGCCUGGAAACCAUGAGAUUGUCCUCAACCGUGUUGCUCGUGCAACCAUUAACACAGUAGGUCAAAAGUUCAGUGAUUCUCACGUCUGUUAAUUCAUCUAAAUUAAUUGAGUGGGGGAAAAUGACGUGCUUCUUCCAGUAGUCUUCUAUAGAAUCUGUUGCCACCAUCACAAAAUAAGUCUUGUUUUUAAAUUCACUUCUGUACGUGGGACAAAUUGGCUUUUCUGGGAACAGAAUGUCCUUUGGGUUAUCAAGUUCUUGUGGAGAUAAGGAUGCUAGUUUCAAUAACUCUUUCAGGCUGGACUCUGAGCUAUAAAAAGGAAAAUCCUCGUUGAUGGAAUCAAACAAGGCUGUCAGGUCCGAUGUCUGUCCAAACCAGGCCUGGAGAGUACCUGGGGUAUCUCCAUACGACCCUAAGCUGGCUCCAGGUACACGGACAACCUUUGUCAAUAGAUGGGUGUGAAUAUAUUUUUCCUUGUUAUAGUAGCUGGACAUUUUAUCCAAAAAUUCAUCACAGAGUUUCAGAUGAAGAAUUUCAGAACUGUAGGUGUUGAUAUUGUCCGGUGAGGUCUUUCCAAUAAAUUCCAGGAAGGCAGUUUUGUUAAAACAUGCAUAAAAUGCCAGGUACACAAAUUGUACAAUGUCCUUGUUAGACAGCAGUAGACCCCCCCUAAUUUCAUUAAUCAUCUGGUCAAUCUUUUCAUUUUCUAGAGUGUCUAUGUUGAGUUUAGUUUCUACAUAUUCUGCAAACAAAGGCACACUGUCCAGGAUAGAGCUUGAGGAAAAGAACAGCCCAAGUUCCUGAAGACUGGACACAUCAAUGAGAGAGUGUCCAAGCUCCCCGCAGAAAAGUCUAGCCAAGUGCAUGAGGGUCUCAACGGUACAAGCAUGUUUAUAAAAGUAAUAAGAGGCGAUGACCAGGGUAAAGGUCAAGUCAUCCUGUCCAAAGGUUGUAAUGAACCAUUGUGUGGAAGAUGUUGUCUUUAACAGUUUUCUCAAAAAAUUGAUUAAUUUUGACUGGUACCAUCUAACCAUUUCCAGAAAAGUGCCCUCUUUCUCCCCUCUGUUAUCUAGACUCAUUAUCAAUUUUAAAAUUGGCAAUAUUUGAGCUUUGAGGUGAGAAUAAUCUAGGCAAGAUGCUACCUGCCCGCUGGUUAGAGGCCUGCCAUUAAACAAAAACUGUUUGGCAUCAUCGCAGGAAAUGUCAACUUUAAACAGUUCAAAGUAUUUUUUUUCCUUAUUGGGCCUGUUUAGAGGUAGGCACAUAGAGAUGCUGCUGAUGUUUUUUAGACCAGAAAUACUAAAGCAGUCAUGAAUCAAAGAGGUGAAUUUAUAUUCAGUUGCGCCCUCGUGUGUGAUUAAAUUCACAACAGCGUCUAUAACAUCAAUAUCUGUAGAAAAUAUACACCUGACAGUAUCUGGCGAUACAAGGCAUGAAUUGCUGUGGUAUCUGGCCAUUUGGGAAACCCGGUGUACCUUACAAGAGGCUCGCUGAUGUAGAAACAGAUGAGAGAAUGGAGAUGGAGAUCAGGCUGGGUAUGCCCCCGGGGGUGUUGGCGGCCGACCUGAUUAGGAGCACCAAGGAUAAGCAGGUCCUGGAGCAACUCUAUCUUCUGGCCGUGCAGGCAAAUAAUUUAACAGAGCACAUCAAGAGAUUUACCUUGGGUGAGAUACCAGAAGAAUGUAAAAAUGUUACCAGAUCUCAAUUGGAAAAAUUAAAGUCUGUCCAACACAUAAUUUGGAACACAAUGAUAUCAUUGGCUGCUGGGGCAAUAAGUGUAGAUGAGGCCACACUUCCAGCCCUGCUGGACAAGAGGGCAGAGGAAACGGUGGCUCUUCUCGAGAUGGAGAAAAUAGCCACAGCAGUCAAACUGGAUGAGACGGCCGCAUGGGCCACUGACAUUGCUGGUAUUGUAUCUAGCCAACCUUUGGCCACGCCCCCAAGUGAGUCACCCGACCAAAUAGCACUGAAAAAAGCCACACAACUUUCAAAUGCUGUUUAUUGAAACUGGUCACACACAUCAUUUUGUGUGCAGUUUUAUUAAUUCACCCCACUUGACCCAAACCCCCGCCCCUCCCUAGAAGGCUUUCCUGGCCUCUGUUUGCUGUAUCGCCUAUUCUUUUCUUCAGCAAUUUCAGACUUGUCUGCAGCUUCGUGCGGAACCCUAAUAAACUGUACAACAGCUAAA
rnacentral:tmRNA from 1 species